rnacentral:rRNA from 1 species
UACGUAGGGUGCAAGCGUUGUCCGGAAUUAUUGGGCGUAAAGAGCUCGUAGGCGGUCUGUCGCGUCGGCUGUGAAAACCUGGGGCUUAACUCCGGGCUUGCAGCCGAUACGGGCAGACUAGAGUUCGGCAGGGGAGACUGGAAUUCCUGGUGUAGCGGUGAAAUGCGCAGAUAUCAGGAGGAACACCCGUGGCGAAGGCGGGCUUCUGGCUAAUUACUGACGCUGAGGUGCGAAAGCUAGGGGAGCGAACGGG